rnacentral:rRNA from 1 species
GAUGAACGCUGGCGGCGUGCCUAAUACAUGCAAGUCGAGCGAACAGACGAGGAGCUUGCUCCUCUGACGUUAGCGGCGGACGGGUGAGUAACACGUGGAUACCCUACCUAUAAGACUGGGAUAACUUCGGGAAACCGGAGCUAAUACCGGAUAAUAUAUUGAACCGCUUGGUUCAAUAGUGAAAGACGGUUUUGCUGUCACUUAUAGAUGGAUCCGCGCCGCAUUAGCUAGUUGGUAAGGUAACGGCUUACCAAGGCAACGAUGCGUAGCCGACCUGAGAGGGUGAUCGGCCACACUGGAACUGAGACACGGUCCAGACUCCUACGGGAGGCAGCAGUAGGGAAUCUUCCGCAAUGGGCGAAAGCUUGACGGAGCAACGCCGCGUGAGUGAUGAAGGUCUUCGGAUCGUAAAACUCUGUUAUUAGGGAAGAACAAAUGUGUAAGUAACUAUGCGCGUCUUGACGGUACCUAAUCAGAAAGCCACGGCUAACUACGUG